rnacentral:lncRNA from 1 species
UUGAAUCAUUAUUUUAGGCGUUCGGUUCUUACUGUGCAAUAUUUUCGUAAUAACCUAUGCAACCGAAUGUUCUCGUUGAUGCUGUUCGAAAUGCAUUCACGAAAAAUCCAAGAUAGCCAGUGUCAGUCUUCCCGUUGGAACCAACGGGGCUUCUGUGCCAUCUUGCGCGAGUGCUCAACAUGUUUUAUGGCUUUGCCAACGAUCUGUGGACGUUCGUGGGUUGAUCACUUGAGUCCCGAAAUAUAGAUGUCUAUUUAUAAUGACCCCAACGUUGCUUGCCCGCGUCCCAGUCGUAAACAUGGUCGUAAAUCGGAUCACCAUGCCUACUGCUAAUGCUACCAACAACGAAAGGGCAACGAAGGGACCUCUACUAUGAAUUCCAAUGCCCGUUCGUGUGGCGCGGACCUAACGGGCAUUUCCGUCAUCAGGACGUUCAUCAAUAGAGACCAUCAUGAGUAAAAAUUAGUGGGCUCCUUCCGACGAAUAUGCAGCGUUUUUGUGCGUUUGUAGAAUAAUAUGUCCUAUUAUCAUCUGCGACUGCCUAUUACCACCCACUAACUUCUGUGAUCGGGAUGAAGCACAGCCUUCAUGAAGCUAUGAAAUAGCAGAAUGUUUAUGUACAACGGAGUGGAAUACUUAACUCAUAUGAAAAUGAAAACAAUCUAAGCAAUACGAAAUGUCGUUUGUGCAUUGUAAAAUCAGUCGCUGAGACUUUUUUUGCCAGCUGAGGCCCUUCUUGGUCAAGUGUUAGCUGGGGGUCCGUGCCUUUAAUCCACUCGUUGGACGUCGCUUGCCCACGAAAGCGUAAUGGUAAAUCCACGCUUAUUCAUUGGUUAUACGUUGAUGCUGUUGCUUGUUACAAUAGAAGUUGUCGAUGAAGUCGCAGCGCUUACACGAAAAUAAGUGGAAACAUUUGUCGUAGCCUUUGAAGCUGCUAGUCGGAUCGCGAAGGAGUACUAUGCGUUAGGAGCGUGAAGGACACAGAAUAGAUUCUUCUACUUCUGUCCUACAGGUCUAACCGAUACGAGGUUGUAACGUCCGUGUAAAUCUUUCUCGAGGCCUGUGUGUGGUUAAGGCCUUCGCUGAUCAUAAUUAUCGAUCGAUAACACUCGUUAACGUAUCCACAGUGGGCACGUAUAGACGCAUCACACAAAUUAGCUGUUGCCGUUUGUCAGGCCAGCUCUGCUGUUUCUCGAUUGAAAUUCGUGCAGCCUCCGCUAGACCCAACCCUGGUUAUUGUUCCUUUCUCAGCUCAUACAGCUGUUGCCACUGAGUAUGCUAGUAGUUGACUGGCGGCUGGCGUUUGUGCAAGGCCACGUUAUGGCGUACACAUCUAGAUGAGAAGCAUGCACGCGUACAGAGUUACGAACGGGCGGAAUCUGCUUUUCCCAAGCCUCCCAGACAGCUAAUUCUCUGACUGCUCUCAUCAAGUGAAGACGUAGAUGAGAAGUGAACCGUAGUAAUGUUGCGGCUGAGAGUACGAGUUGGCGGGAUGGACGCAGUCGUAGGCAAGAAAGCAAACGGGAACGGCAGCCAACAAUGACUGAUAAAACAACCAAGCAACGUAAGACGGGAAAACGAUAAUCCGUCACUGGCUGAUGAUUCUACUUGGCGCUCCCAAUGGACAUCGUACACAAGCACAAAACCGUAACAAUCACAGCAAUGCCAAAACAGUGGAGACAGCGACUUCGAAGAUACAACAAAACAGACGAGCAGUGAACGUGCGUCGAUGGGUGUUGAACGUAUAAAACGUGUACACAUAUUUAGGGCGAUUCACCUCCCGUCUCUACCUCCGUUAGGAUUUGUCUCUGUAUAAACGUACGCGUAAACACGGAUUUGGUGUAGACCAGUUAGCCGUAGGAGAAGGUAGAGGUGCCUGACCUGAACGACAGGAGCGAUUUCAACAGAUUUGAUGGCCGUCGAGCUCGUGUAUCGAUGUUUUACGGAGAAAUUACGCCACAGAUCAACCAUAGCAGCGGUACACUGCGAUUGUUUGAGGUUCACGACUCUGACCCCCUGUAGAUGAGCCGGCUUGCCUGUUACACUCCCCACCCGCUGCAUCGCACCGUAAAUCCUUACGUAUCUACGAGUCUAUUCAGCCGUGGCAGGAACACACUUGUCAAAAGUAGCGUUAUACGUUUCGUUCGUUAAUGGGGAAGGAAGGAGGAAAAAGCAACAUCAACAUAUAACAAUAUAGGCAGGCAGGAGAAUGGACUUGUAAUGGAGUUGUAAAUACAGUAACGAUAGGUAACCACUUCUAAGGUAAUCGAAAGCCACCUGAUAAAAACAGCUAUGGACCAAAGGCUUCAUACGUACUACUACCCCAUGUAGCAUAUGUACAUGUUGCAAAGGUAAAGACGAGUGCUAUAUAUGCGCAGAUUUCACAACAACUAUCGUCCGUCACCCAUUACGCUCGUACUGCCAUGCCGAAAUCUUCGUAUGUAUCAGCAGAUAGUCGGGCAGCUGUCAUAGUCCGAAACUUCGAACAAAGAAUGGGUAUCGAACUUGUUCUGAAAAAGCUUUAUAAUUUAAUAAUAGUAAUUGGCGCCAAUGCAUAGGGCAACUAACGAGAGGCAAAGUCAAAAUGAAGCCAAACUCGAUAAUGCUCAGGAACUGUCAAAAAAUCCUUCUGUACAAAGUAGUUUGGUGUAGAACUGAAAUGUAUAUAUCGUAUAUAGAUUAAUUACUUUUGCUUACAUAUUACCAUAAACUAACUGAAAUAUUAAUGCGAACUAAAUGAAGAAAUUUCUAUCCAUCGAGCAGUUGACCAUCUCUUGACCAGCGACUAGCUUUAAAUAAAUGCAGCUGUCCAUAUGUGAAUGUCCGUGUAGGUAAGAUUGUUUAUGUUUUUGGAAUACCAACAUGUAUAUAUAUGUGGGUUAUAGAUAUAUAUACCUAUUAUCCACGUAUCUAUAUAUAUAUGUGGGUUAUAGAUUUGCAAGUCAACGGAAAGUCGAGCAAGCCACAAAAGGUAACUCUAGCGCACGCGUGGAGUACGUUUUUAUUCAAAGCGUUCUUCGUGCACGGUCGCAGCUGCAUGAUACCUUGGACUAGAUCCACACGAUCUAAUCCACACGAUAUAAAUCUACUUCGCUCGCUCUCUGCCGAUUGCAGUGCCAAAUUCGACUGUACAUAACCGGAAGCGCAAAGCCGAAAACGUCAUCAUCGCCGUCGUCGUCGUCCGCAGGCAAAUAACGCAAGUAGCGACUUCUCAUUAGUGCGAUCUUCGUCACUGUAUUAACGUAAGCAUCGGUCUUGGCCCUGACGACGGCUCGUUCGUUAGCUCGCUUGAAGUUUCCGUAACGCCCGAUACUCGAUGAGUUCAGGAUAACGCCGCAAAUUCGGCAGUCACUGAGCCUUCUUUUCGGACCGCAAGGGUCGAUAUGUUCGGAGAAAGCCUGUUUUUCCAUCAAUGGCCUGUUCCGAAUGCAGCUGUUAUGCAACUUGCGACAUCGUCAGUAUGGCUGAAAAGUUAAGCCGAUUGUUCUCAUUAUUAUUUCCACGUAGUGAGUGGCUUUGGCUCCUACUUAUAGGCUGCAUUCUCCGUCUGUCUAAGGGCGAGAUAUUCUUCAACAAAAAAAUGUCCUAAAUUUCAAAUUGGCGCGACCGAUCAGCAGUGAUCCUGCAACAAGUUGCUCUUCGCUGUGAGGGUCUCUACACUGUAUAUGUUUUGCGGGACAGUGAGCUUACUGCAGGAAGUGGUCAAUUUAUUGUAUUACUUACGUACUUCUUAUCUAUAUUUUUUGUUUGAAUAGAUAUAUUUCUUCUUCGAGAAUUCGUUUCAGGCGGGCAUUGCAUUUUCUCGGUAACACGAUUUUCUGCUUGGGAGAAGCGAGCAUGAGGUAUCUGCGUCUGGUUGAUCUAUUAAAGAAGGCAGGUGAGACGGGCAUGCAAGUUGCGUAGCCGUAAAGGUAUCAACAGCGAUGAAGUAGACGAUUUAAGCUAGGAAAUUACAGGGCAACGUAAUGGCGUCAAAUUUUAUACAUAUUGUAAUUUCUAGCCAGGAACGUUGGGAAUUCUUGGCCCACACAAUUUAGAAUAUAGGUGGCACAAAUGAAAAGAUUAAAAUUUUAACUGGAUAUAUAGGGUCUGUAUGAAAUCACGAGGUUCUAACCCCAUCAGGCGAUCAACAAAACCGUAGCUACAUUGUUUCGCUACCAAAACGAACGUUUUGGCGAAUGUUUAUCAAACAUUAAUUAAGGUGAUUAGACAGCAUUGUCUAACGCGGUCUUAUUGGCUUAUUGUAAACAAUUACCAAAUAUAAAACAUUAGAAAUCGAGUAAGUGUAAUUAAUGACUCCUCUGUUUAGUCCUAGUAAUCCUGGUGUCCAAGUAAUGAUUAGUAGAUCGGCAGAGUUUUGAACUAUUUGAUUUUAUAAUGGACACUCCGAUUCUUACCUAGUUCAGCCGAUUCUAUUAGACAUUUUGCGUUUAUCACAUUAUUCACUUAAAUAGUAAAUAAAUGAAAUAGCUCAAAUGAGUCGAAUACGCCUUAUACAGGACCGAAACUGGACGAUGGAUAAUGUAUUCUAAAAGAAUUAAGAAGAUUUUCAGUCACUUUGAUAGAAGAUCCCUUUCUUCUAGCUAACGAAGAUAGUACGUAAUAACUGAUUAUUCUAUGGAUGUUUUGCCUUUUGCUUAGAAUAUGAAACGUUUACCCUGCGGCCCCUAAUAAGCAGUAGCUGGUUAAACAUCGAUCUUCUAAGCUUAUAAAACUCGUAAUAAUUAUAAAAUAGCAUUGAUCUUUCGAUGAAAAACAUCCAAUACGAUUAAUAUAUUAGCUGGUAUAGAACUAUGACUCUUGGAAAAACUCUGUUCAGGUAGAAGAACUGUGUUCUUAAGAUAGGAACCUUCCAAUGGAGACGUUCUAUUAUAUAACACAAAAUCAAAAAUAUCCAACAGCCAAUGGUCCAGUGAUUUUCGUUCGUUACAAAAAAUCAUCGAUGCUUUCUGCCACGAGCGAAGGCAUAUGACUAGCUUCAGCAUACGGCACAAGAUUUCCGAUCUUUGCACACAGUUACCUUUGCCGACAUAUUAUUUGGUCUAUGAUUAUUUGAACCGGUAACGGGACAAUUACUAUGUGUAGGUGUCGUUUGCGUAGGAGCGACCGCAGAGCUUCAUAGUUCAUUGAUAAAGCGGCCUUCGAGGCAGCCGACUUGCCACAAUUAGUCAUAUCGGCAGAUGAAACGUGUCAGGAAUGCCACGUCCUAGCUAUCCAGUAGGCCUUAAGGACGAUACAACGUCCCACUAGUAAAAAUGUCUAUCCAUCAAAAACGAUUGUAUCUGGUGACGUUUACAAGGCUUUACCGUGCCCAUUCGAACAAACAACAAAUACGAUUGAUGAUUAUUUCCCGCAUUUUUUUCUUGUGACGAUAUACGUACGAGAAACAACAAAGACAAAUACAUCGAAAUCCGUAUUUUAAAACUUCACUUGCUUUGGAAUUGAGCGCGUUAAGACAUUACUCUGAUUAUAAUGGAUGCGGCGGCGGUUCUCAAUGAGCAGGUUGGUGACUGGAUAGAAAAAAUAAAAACAUAGCGUUGAGACGUUUUUCCGUCACUCGUCA